rnacentral:rRNA from 1 species
GGCUUCGGUUUAAGUUGAGUGGCGAACGGGUGAGUAACACGUGGGUGACCUACCUUCGAGUGGGGGAUAACGUCCCGAAAGGGACGCUAAUACCGCAUAACAUCCUGCCUUUGAACAGGUGGAGAUCAAAGCCGGGGAUCGCAAGACCUGGCGCUUGAUGAGGGGCCCGCGCCUGAUUAGCUAGUUGGUGAGGUAAUGGCUCACCAAGGCGACGAUCAGUAUCCGGCCUGAGAGGGCGGACGGACACACUGGGACUGAGACACGGCCCAGACUCCUACGGGAGGCAGCAGUGGGGAAUUGUUCGCAAUGGGCGCAAGCCUGACGACGCAACGCCGCGUGGAGGAUGAAGGUCUUCGGAUUGUAAACUCCUGUUGCUCGGGACGAAAAGCUUCGACCUAAUACGUCGAAGUCUGACGGUACCGAGUGAGGAAGCCCCGGCUAACUCUGUGCCAGCAGCCGCGGUAAUACAGAGGGGGCAAGCGUUGUUCGGAAUUACUGGGCGUAAAGGGCGCGUAGGCGGCCUGCUAAGUCGAACGUGAAAUCCCUGGGCUCAACCCAGGAACUGCGUCCGAUACUGGUUGGCUUGAAUCCGGGAGAGGGAUGUGGAAUUCCAGGUGUAGCGGUGAAAUGCGUAGAUAUCUGGAGGAACACCGGUGGCGAAGGCGACAUCCUGGACCGGCAUUGACGCUGAGGCGCGAAAGCCAGGGGAGCAAACGGGAUUAGAUACCCCGGUAGUCCUGGCCCUAAACGAUGAAUGCUUGGUGUGGCGGGUAUCGAUCCCUGCCGUGCCGAAGCUAACGCAUUAAGCAUUCCGCC